CAUUCUCUUAUUAAAUAUGAUCCACAAAACCCGAUCUAUGAUAGGUUUUUGGAGUUUGAAGAGUUAUGUGGUUUGAAGAGUUUCUUUAGUUGCGGGUUUGGUUUUUUUUUUUUCCUUGUGGUUUGAAGGGUUUUAGCUGGUUUUAGGGUUUUGGGUUUUGUUGGGUGAAUUGGUUUUAGGGUUUUGGGUGUUGUUGGGUGAAUUGGUUUUAGGGUUUUGGAUGUUGUUGGGUGAAGUGGUUUUAGGGUUUUUACGGUUUUAGUUACUAGUUUGGUUUCCAGUGGGAUUGGGUUUUGGGAUGGUUUUAGGAUGUGGUAAGUGGUAUUAGGGUUACAUGAGUGGUUUUCCUACGUGGGUGUUGUAUUUUUGGGUGAUAUUAGGGUUUUGUGGUAGAGCUCCUCUAAAGUCCAAAAGAGGGUAUCAAUGGAUGGAUUGAGCUGCUGGGCCAUGGAUUCCACUUCCCUAUUGCAAGUUUGGUUGUAUUGAGAUAGGGUUGUGGUUUGCAUGAUUCAGGAGCUUUUAGUCAUUCUUUUGGGAUCUUUGUUUGGAUUGAAGGGAGCUCUACAUCACUAUCUCUUCUUGCACUGUUUUUCUAUAAUUUCUUCCAUCUGUUUGGAUUUUUUUUUUUUGUCUUCUAUUUUUCGAUUUACUUUUAAUGGAGAAAUUGGUCAGUAUUGGUUUUUCUUUAUAUGUAUUUUUAUUUGGUUUUCUGUUUUUUUCCUUUUCUUUCUUUUUAGUGUUUCAACCAUGCGUCUUGUGCAACUAAGGCACAUGUUUCAGUGAUCUAAAUCGCUAGGCCCCACUUUGGAUGACCCUUGUACAACACAUCACAGAUUGGGACGAUCUUAACCAUCACGCGGUACCAACAGAUCGUUGGAUACGGCUCCUUCAAAGAUUAGUUGUAUGAUGGAUGGUUGGGAUCCUCCAAUGUGGUCGGUUUCUUUUACAGAAGGUUAUCCAGGGUGAGAUGCAUUAUAUGAACGGUUUGGAUCAUGGAUGAUGAUUUCCGUUUUUAGCUAGAAUGCAAAGAGCGCAGAUUGUUGGACCGACAUGCAUACAUCUGUAUCGGGAUAUGGUAAAAAUGCUUAGAUAUGUAGUAUUAGAUUGUACUGUUUGUAUGAGUAUGUUUCGGAUGCAAAUACAUAUCGUCUGUAUCAAUAUUGUAUUGUGAUAAAUCCAGAUGAGAUUACGUUUCGAAAUAAAGGAUUUUGGACCGUC